UACGUAGGGUGCGAGCGUUAAUCGGAAUUACUGGGCGUAAAGCGUGCGCAGGCGGUUUUGUAAGACAGAGGUGAAAUCCCCGGGCUCAACCUGGGAACUGCCUUUGUGACUGCAAGGCUUGAGUGCGGCAGAGGGGGAUGGAAUUCCGCGUGUAGCAGUGAAAUGCGUAGAUAUCGAGAGGAACACCUGCGGCGAAGGCGGGUUGCUGGGCUGAUACUGACGCUGAGGCGCGAAAGCCAGGGGAGCGAACGGG
rnacentral:rRNA from 1 species